GGCAGGUGAUGUCUGUUAUCACGAUGGUCUUCGGAUGCCCACAUGGGGCACUGCCGACGCAGCCUCUUGGCAGAACUGAUGCCAGAAG